rnacentral:rRNA from 1 species
CCGGCACGGGUGAGUAACACGUAUCCAACCUGCCGUCUACUCUUGGACAGCCUUCUGAAGGAAGAUUAAUACAAGAUGGCAUCAUAAGUCCGCAUGUUCACAUGAUUAAAGGUAUUCCGGUAGACGAUGGGGAUGCGUUCCAUUAGAUAGUAGGCGGGGUAACGGCCCACCUAGUCUUCGAUGGAUAGGGGUUCUGAGAGGAAGGUCCCCCACAUUGGAACUGAGACACGGUCCAA